rnacentral:rRNA from 1 species
GACGAACGCUGGCGGCGUGCUUAACACAUGCAAGUCGAACGGUGAAGCGCCUUCCUUUUUGGUGGGUGUGGAUGAGUGGCGAACGGGUGAGUAACACGUGAGUAUCCUGCCCCCUUCUUCUGGAUAACCGCAUGAAAGUGUGGCUAAUACGGGAUAUUCUGGGUCUGUCGCAUGAUGGGUCUGGGAAAGAUAUUGUUUCGGUGGGGGAUGGGCUCGCGGCCUAUCAGCUUGUUGGUGGGGUGAUGGCCUACCAAGGCGGUGACGGGUAGCCGGCCUGAGAGGGUGGACGGUCACACUGGGACUGCGACACGGCCCAGACUCCUACGGGAGGCAGCAGUGGGGAAUAUUGCACAAUAGGCGCAAGCCUGAUGCAGCGACGCCGCGUGAGGGAUGGAGGCCUUCGGGUUGUGAACCUCUUUCGCCAGUGAAGCAGGCCUGCCUCGUUUGUGGGUGGGUUGACGGUAGCUGGAUAAGAAGCGCCGGCUAACUACGUG